GGAUAGCUCAGUUGGUGAGAGUGUGGUGCUGAUAAGGCCAAGGUUGCAGGUGAAAUCCCUGUGUGGGACA